rnacentral:tRNA from 1 species
GACACCGUGGUGGAGUUGGUUAACGCGUAAGCGCACAAUGCCGAAGUCGCCGGUUCGAAUCCAGCCGGUAUUC